rnacentral:rRNA from 1 species
GAUGAACGCUGGCGGCGUGCUUAACACAUGCAAGUCGAACGAUGAAGCCCAGCUUGCUGGGUGGAUUAGUGGCGAACGGGUGAGUAACACGUGAGGAACCUGCCCUCUACUCUGGGAUAAGCCUGGGAAACUGGGUCUAAUACUGGAUAUGACUUCUCAUCGCAGGGUGGGGGGUGGAAAGAUUUCUUGGUCUUGGAUGGACUCGCGGCCUAUCAGCUUGUUGGUGAGGUAAUGGCUCACCAAGGCGACGACGGGUAGCCGGCCUGAGAGGGUGACCGGCCACGCUGGGGCUGGGACACGACCCAGACUCCUGCGGGAGGCAGCAGCGGGGAAUCUUGCACGAUGGGCGCGAGCCUGCUGCAGCGACGCCGCGUGCGGGAUGACGGCCUUCGGGUUGUACACCUCUUUCCGUGGGGGAGUACCGGGCGUGACGGUACCUGCAGGAGCAGCGCCGGCUAGCUACGUG